rnacentral:rRNA from 1 species
AUUGAACGCUGGCGGCAGGCCUAACACAUGCAAGUCGAGCGGAUGAAGGGAGCUUGCUCCUGGAUUCAGCGGCGGACGGGUGAGUAAUGCCUAGGAAUCUGCCUGGUAGUGGGGGAUAACGUCCGGAAACGGGCGCUAAUACCGCAUACGUCCUGCGGGUGAAAGUGGGGGAUCUUCGGACCUCACGCUAUCAGAUGAGCCUAGGUCGGAUUAGCUAGUUGGUGGGGUAAAGGCCUACCUAGGCGACGAUCCGUAACUGGUCUGAGAGGAUGGUCAGUCACAUUGGAACUGAGACACGGUCCAGACUCCUACGGGAGGCAGCAGUGGGGAAUAUUGGGCAAUGGGCGAAUGCCUGAUCCAGCCAUGCCGCGUGUGUGAAGAAGGUCUUCGGAUUGUAAAGCACUUUAAGUUGGGAGGAAGGGCAGUAAGUUAAUACCUUGCUGUUUUGACGGUACCAACAGAAUAAGCACCGGCUAACUUCGUG